UUCAGCAUGAAGUAAUGGAUACAUAUAUAUUGGCUUCCUUCAAAAGGGGUGAGUGAGAAGUACUUCAGAACUUCGGAGGAGCUCUACAUUAAGAAAUAAGGGAAGCUCAUGCAUGAAGUUUCUUGUGAACUCGUCGUUGUUUUAUGAUUGGGCGGAUGUUUGUGAAUUUAUUCAUGUAAUGCAAUUGGAUUUUACUGUGUUUAUAUACCCAGAUAUAUGUGGGUGUUUGUGACUCUAUUCUUGUGAUGUAAUUGGGUUUGAUACUCUGGUUUUACACCUAUCAAUGUGUCUGACGAUGUAAUAACUCACUAUUUUUAUUAUGACAAUAUAUAAUUAUUGUUUACUUAAGUU